rnacentral:ncRNA from 1 species
GCGCAAUCCGCCAACCGGUCGAGCCGGGCCGCGGAAGGUUACUUAACCCAUCGGAGCUUCGGAAACCGAAGCAAAAGGUGAGCG